rnacentral:rRNA from 1 species
AGGACUUAGCAGAGAUGCUUUGGUGCCUUCGGGAACUCUGAGACAGGUGCUGCAUGGCUGUCGUCAGCUCGUGUUGUGAAAUGUUGGGUUAAGUCCCGCAACGAGCGCAACCCUUAUCCUUUGUUGCCAGCGGUCCGGCCGGGAACUCAAAGGAGACUGCCAGUGAUAAACUGGAGGAAGGUGGGGAUGACGUCAAGUCAUCAUGGCCCUUACGAGUAGGGCUACACACGUGCUACAAUGGCGCAUACAAAGAGAAGCGACCUCGCGAGAGCAAGCGGACCUCAUAAAGUGCGUCGUAGUCCGGAUUGGAGUCUGCAACUCGACUCCAUGAAGUCGGAAUCGCUAGUAAUCGUGGAUCAGAAUGCCACGGUGAAUACGUUCCCGGGCCUUGUACACACCGCCCGUCACACCAUGGGAGUGGGUUGCAAAAGAAGUAGGUAGCUUAACCUUCGGGAGGGCGCUCACCACUUUGUGAUUCAUGACUGGGGUGAAGUCGUAACAAGGUAGGCGUAGUGCU